UCUGUUCUUCUUCUUCUUUCUUUUUCUUCUCUGUUUCUCCUCUUAUUCUCUCUGUCGAAUUCUUAUAGAAGAAGUGAGUGUGUUAUGAUAUGAGUGAUUCGUAGAAGUUUGUUAACUUGAUGAAUCAAAGGGAUAAGUGAUGAACUGUGGUUGAUUGAACCGAGAGAAGAGAAUUGAUGUUACUGUAAGUUGAAUUUAGGGUCUUCUUUAUGGAAGAAGUAGAUGAAUCAAGAAAAUAGGAGAUGGGUUUGAUCGAUUGAAGGCUGCGGUGAACUCAAACAAAGAGGAAGUUGUUAGGUGAUUCUGUGAGAAUUAGGGUUUGUAAAGCUAGGUCAGGGAUGGUGAAAUUGAUGGUUUAAUGGAAAGAUUGGAGAAGGAUAUGACUGAUAUGAGGAGUUAGAGUAUCUCUUGAACUUGAAUUAGAAAAUAGAAAACCGAGAAUCAAUUCUAGGGUUUCUGAGAAACAGUGAAGAGGAUGAAGAUAGAUGAAUAUUGGUUUAGUUGAAGUGAUAGAUUGAUAAUGGAUUUGAGGUGUUUUGCUGAAUCAAGUUGGAAUAAAGAAGAAUUGUACUCAGUUGCUUGAAUGAGGUUAUAUUGAGGUAAUUGUUCUUUUUAAUAAAGAUUAGUUCAAUUUCAGUAUUGAGUUAUAAAGUUUCUCAAUGAACUAUGAAUGGAGUUUGAUAUGGUUUUAAGCUUUAAUAUUGUUGUGUAUGGUAUGAACUGUGAUUGAGUUGUGGAGGUGUUGGUGAUGGAUGUGAGAAUCUCAUGAAGAAGUUGAAUUAGUGGUUGUUAUAGGUUAUGGAGCUAUUAUGAAGUUGUUGCCGCAUUAAGAGUUUGUGUUGAGUUCUCAAUUGAUAUUGAAGUUAGUGUAGAACAUGGUUGUGGUUAUGAAGUUUUGUAAUUGAGUUUGGCAGUGAUGAUUGGUGUGGGUAUGUUGAGUUGGAGUUGAGAAGUGAACUGUUGCAGGUGGAGUUGAGUUACCUAGUAGUGGCUCUGCGGCUGUUGCUGAGUUGCAGGGUGUGUUGAAUGUUGAAUUGAGUUACAAUUGUAAUUAGUUAAGUUCUGAAUGAUUUUUGUGUUGAUAAAUUAGAGUUAAGUAAAGAAGCUUGUGUUGUUAUUAUGGGUUUUAAUGAUUGAAGUUGAAUGGGACUUGAGAUAUAAACAUAGAACUGUUGGUGGAGGAGGUGAUCUCAGUUGAGUAUGGAGAUGGAUUUUAGUUACAGGGAUGGUGGUGCAGAGUUACUUGAGUUGCAUAUAUGUAUAUCUGAAUUGAGAUUUCUGAGCAGAAGAUGAGUUACAGGGAGGUAGGUUGAACGCUGUUGGUGGUAAUGGAUAUAUGGAUAUUAGUAUGGUAGUUGUAGAAUUAUAGUUAGUGAUUGCUGUGAAAAGCUUAAAGCUGCAUUUGCAGUUAGUCUUAUUAACAACGAUCGAUUCAAAGGAUGAACCAGUGGAUCGUGAAUCUCGAGGUAGGCGUGGCUUGUCAUCAAAAGAGUUUCAGAGACAGAUCAGAGUUGCGCAGCGAAAGCUUCAAGGGUCGAGUUCGCUAGUUGUUUAACUUCUGCUAUGAUUAUUAUGUUGCGUAUUAUAUUUGUAAACCAAAUUACUAUUGUAUAUGUAUCAUUCGAGAGAAGUUCUUUUGUAUAUAUAUUUCUGAGCGGGGCUAGUUUUUGGGUUAAGUUUUGUAUAAGAUUUAUUAAUUGAAUGUUUAAGUAAAUGAUUAGAUUCUUA